UGAACUAGAAAUGCAACAGGACGAAGAAAAUUUGCCAUAUGAAGAAGAGAUUUACAAAGAUUCUAGUACUUUUCUUAAGGGAACACAGAGCUUAAAUCCCCAUAAUGAUUACUGCCAACAUUUUGUAGACACUGGACAUAGACCUCAGAAUUUCAUCAGGGAUGUAGGUUUAGCUGACAGAUUUGAAGAAUAUCCUAAACUGAGGGAGCUCAUCAGGCUAAAGGAUGAGUUAAUAGCUAAAUCUAACACUCCUCCUAUGUACUUACAAGCCGAUAUAGAAGCCUUUGACAUCAGAGAACUAACACCCAAAUUUGAUGUGAUUCUUCUGGAACCCCCUUUAGAAGAAUAUUACAGAGAAACUGGCAUCACUGCUAAUGAAAAAUGCUGGACUUGGGAUGAUGUAUGAUCAAACUUUCUACAUUGUAAUGAAUU
rnacentral:sRNA from 1 species